CGCGGCCUCUCUCCGCCUGUGGGCAGAGUCGUCGGGCUCACAAAUGCUUGAUGGUGGGUGGGAGGGACAGGUGAGCGGGAGCCGAGGAGGGGGAACCCUGCAGAGACCGGUUGCUUUGCAUAUGUCACGCAGGGUUUGGCAAGCCUUGACUGCGGUUACCUCAGAGCCACUCUGGUCUCGAUGUAACAGCAGGCAUUGGGACAGGGGUAAGGCGGCCCUGAGGGGGUGACGGAAUCCUGAGACCUCCCAUACCCGGCCUCACUGGCCCGGCUGCGUGUGGGGGGAGGGAAGAAGCGUAACUGUACAUGCUCACUUUUCACUAUUUGCUUUUUUAAAAUGUUCUAUUCUUUAAUCCCCCUGUUCUUACUUUUCUCUGGAAUAAAAUGCCCCUUCCUCCAUCCUGAGGGUGCUACCUGCCAUGAAUCAGGGCAUCUUCUAUCCUCUUGGAGUUCACUACUGGUAACCAGCCUGCUUUCUCAGGUUCUGUCCCACCCAGGAUGUGAAUUAUCCCUUUGUUGGAUCCCCAACCAUCAACAUCAUCGGCUUCUGACGUCUGACCAUUGGCAUCAUCAUGGCUCAAUGAUCCUCCUUCUAAGAUAUGGUCAGAAGGUCAAUAGGAGCCUAAUGAAACGUCACGAUGCCUACGUCAUUCACCCCACUUCAUCUCCUCUCAUUGGCAUUGUAUCAUCUCACAUCAUCACAAGAAGAGGAAGGGUGUCCCGGUUUGGAUGAUAAAUUACAUGGACUUCCCAUUCAUCUCCAGUCUGUCAACAACCACGGGGAACCCUUCCUCUUAAUGCUCCCA